CUACGGAGGGUGCAAGCGUUACUCGGAAUCACUGGGCGUAAGGCGCGCGCAGGCGGCUAUUUAAGUUGGAUGUGAAAGCCUACGGCUCAACCGUAGAACUGCAUCCAAAACUAUUUAGCUAGAGUGUGGGAGAGGAAGAUGGAAUUAGUUGUGUAGGGGUAAAAUCCGUAGAGAUAACUAGGAAUACCAAAAGCGAAGGCAAUCUUCUGGAACACUACUGACGCUGAGGCGCGAAAGCGUGGGGAGCAAACAGGAUUAGAUACCCUAGUAGUCC
rnacentral:rRNA from 1 species